UUUUUCAAUCUUUUUUUUUCUUUUUGUCAAUCUCCGGAAUCACAAUCUAGAAGAAGAUUUCGUUUAAGACAAAGAAGAAGUAUAUUGUAGACUGUGUUGUGUGCGAAUUCGUCUUGUUUCAUCGACCAAAAAGGACAGAGAAAGAGAGAACGCGAGUCGCGAGAGAAUUGAAGAAUCCAUUACUGGGUUCGAACCAGCGACCGUGAUACUUCUGGAACCCUAAUCUCGAAAUCAGUGUCUUCGAGGAAUUAGAUUUUCCCUACUACUUUGUUGGAAAGAAAAUGCAAAAUAGAUUGAUUUGCCAAACUCUUGCUCAAGCUUUUGUAUGUGGAGAUUCUGAUGUCUUCGACAAGUGGAGAAUGUUUCGUUAUCGAGAGAUGUUAGGCAUAUCAAACUUCCUUUACCACACAUCUGGAACGAUAAUACAGAGUCUCAUUCUCAGCCAACGUCGAGCCCAGUGCAUUGUACGUGGAGAGACUGAUCUAUUGGCAGAAGCGAAACAACGUCGAUCAAUACAGAUAUAUAGUUAAACUCGUACACAUAUGCUCAUUGUGUAUGUAUACCAACCACAUACAUCGAGUAUAUUACUAUUUCAGGAACAUUUGGUAACCUUCAAUAUAUAACUAAUUGAAGAUGAGAUGCAAUAUAUACCUUUAAUGUUAUAUGAGUGAGGAUUAACUCUAGCCAUGAUAAAAUCAUCAUGCGAUUGAAGUAUGAAACUUAAUAUUGGACCUCAAAAUUUUCAAACUAAAAAAAAAAAGACAAAUGAUCCAUGAUAGAAUUUUACUACAUGGUCAUCUGAUUUAUUAUAAACUUUAAAUUGCUUCACCCACAUUGUAUAUCGU